rnacentral:rRNA from 1 species
ACUUUCCAAUUAAAAGAUUUUCCAAUAAAAAUUUGUUUCCAAUAAAAAAAAUUCCAAUAAAAGAUUUUCCAUAAAUUUUUUCCAAAUUUUUUUAAUUGGAAAAAUUCUGCC